AGACACCUGGCCUGGACUCUCUCCUAUCCCUUUUUUAUGAUCUGUAACAUGGACAUGGUAGUGACCCAGCUUCGGCAACUCUGAGAAACACAACAUUCAGGGAAUGACAAUGCAGCAGUAAGGAAAGAACCUGUGUCCUUUAAUGACCUAGAGGAGAUCUACCUUGCCACCUGGACCAGCCGGACUAACGAGAGAAAGAAAUACAAAUCUGUCUAUCACAACGACUGGCAUAUAGUAAGAACUCAAUAAAUGGUCUUUGGAAUGAAUAAAUGAUAAAAUGCAUGGCUGUACCCUCAGAGGUUAUGUAGCUUGUGUUAUGUAAUUUUUUUAUAUGAAAUAUCUCCAUGUUCUGUAGUAAGAGCUGCAAAGAGUACCAUUUCUUCAUCUGCACCUUCAGAUAUGCUGAAUCUGGAGCAAUAGUUCGUUUGGUAAAUGCUGGCCAGGAAGAGAAAAGAGAAAUAAACCUAGUGUUUAAUUGAGCAAAGAAAAGAAACCGAAAACAAUUCGCGAAUCGUGCAGCCCAUAUAAUAAGAACAGAUUCAGAGGGACUCUGCCGUCACUACACGU